rnacentral:rRNA from 1 species
CGCAGCGCGGUAUACGGAGGUCCAGCGUUAUCGGAAUACUGGGGUAAACGCAGCAGGGGUCAAUAAAUCAGAUUGAAAGCCCGAGCUUACUCGGAAUGCAUCUGAACUGUUGACUAGAUCUUUAGAGGGGGUAGAAUUCCAUGGUAGCGGGAAAUGCGAGAGAUGGGAGGAUCCCGGGGCGAAGGGGCCCCCUGACAAAGACUGCGCUCAGGUUGAAAGCGUGGGAGCAAACAGGAUUAGAUACCCUGGUAGUCCACGCUGUAAACGAUGUCGAUUUAGAGGUUGUGGUCUUGAACCGUGGCUUCUGGAGAUAACGCGCUAAAUCGACCGCCUGGGGAGUACGGCCGCACGGUUAAGACUCAAAUGAAUUGACGGGGGCCCGCACACGCGGUGGAGCACGUGGUUUAAUUCGAUGCAACGCGAAGAACCUUACCUACUCUUGACAUCCAGCGAAUCCCUCAGAGAUAGAGGAGUGCCUUCGGGAACGCUGAGACACGUGCUGCAUGGCGGUCGUCAGCUCGUGUUGUGAAAUGUUGGGUUAAGUCCCGCAACGAGCGCAACCCCUAUCCUUUGUUGCCAGCACGUAAUGGUGGGAACUCAAAGGAGACUGCCGGUGAUAAACCGGAGGAAGGUGGGGAUGACGUCAAGUCAUCAUGGCCCUUACGAGUAGGGCUACACACGUGCUACAAUGGCAGAUACAAAGAGAAGCGACCUCGCGAGAGCAAGCGGAACUCAUAAAGUCUGUCGUAGUCCGGAUUGGAGUCUGCAACUCGACUCCAUGAAGUCGGAAUCGCUAGUAAUCGUAGAUCAGAAUGCUACGGUGAAUACGUUCCCGGCCCUUGUACACCCCGCCCGUCACACCAUGGGAGUGGGUUGCAAAAGAAGUAGGUAGCUUAACCUUCGGGAGGGCGCUUC